CAGUAGCCACGGUAAUACAGAGGGUGCGAGCGUUAAUCGGAUUUACUGGGCGUAAAGCGUGCGUAGGCGGCUUCUUAAGUCGGAUGUUAAAUCCCUGAGCUUAACUUAGGAAUUGCAUUCGAUACUGGGAAGCUAGAGUAUGGGAGAGGAUGGUAGAAUUCCAGGUGUAGCGGUGAAAUGCGUAGAGAUCUGGAGGAAUACCGAUGGCGAAGGCAGCCAUCUGGACAAAGACUGACGCUCAGGUGCGAAAGCGUGGGGAGCAAACAGGAUUAGAUACCCGUGUAGUCCCUGUCUCUUAUAC
rnacentral:rRNA from 1 species